rnacentral:lncRNA from 1 species
GUGUAAGCUAUCAGUGAUAACAUCUUCCGCACUGCAGAUGGUAGGCUCGGCAUUGGUGCAAUGUGAUACCUUUACCUACCAGCAAAGUAAUUGAGAGAAUUUUUAAAUUGUACAGGCAUCCUAAUUGCCUUAGCUACCAGGACUCAGUUCAAUAACAAGAAGAGACCUUCUGUAUCCGGAAUGGAAGGGGAAGAAGUAUAUUCAGCCAGAAAAAAAAAAAAAAAAAAAAGAAACCAUUGCAAUUUCUUGAAGAAUAUUCAACACAUCUUUGUUCCUUGCAAAUCCAUGAUGCAAAUAGGUGAAGUGGAUGGAGACAGGGAAAAUAGAAUAGAGUGACUGGGGUACAGGGGACUGGAAAAGGGAAACCUGGAAAAGAAGAGUGCUACAGAAGUUGUAUAAAAAAAGCAAUGAAAAUAUGGGAUUAAACCAGGCACUCAAAAAGGGAAGAAUCAUUUUGUGUAUAAUAGCUUAAUUAAAAAAUGAUUAGGACUUAAUAUUUCUUAAAGUUUUAAAAUUUCAUUUGUUUAUACAUUUGUUUAUGCUGGACUCACUUUUUUUCUUCCACAAUAUGAUUUCCAUGGAUUAAACUUGAGCUGUUAUGCUUUGUGGCAAGGGUCUUUACACACUGAGCUAUCUCACUGGCCUGGAGUACUUUAUAUUUUUAAAAUGGGAGUAGAUAUUCACAAAUAGGUUUUAUAUCAAAACUUGAAAGAAGGGUUGAAUAUAGCUUUUCUUAAAUCCUUAGGAUGUGAAAUAUGUUGCAUUUUCAUUUGUUCUGAGUUUUGAUAGGUGUGCCUAACACAUAUGCUAGGGUAGAUUGAAAGGUCUAAACAAAAAAGUCAUUCAGGAUUCAUGUGCACUAUGUAGCAUAGCAUACAAGUAAUUGUAUAUGGCAUUUUCAAUCAUUUUUAUAAAAUAGUUUCACCGAAUUGAGAUCUCACACCAAUGCUGAAGUUUGCAUGUAUGAGUGAUUCCUGAGGGCAGAAGCCGCAGAGGCAAGUCAGGGUGUUAGAUUCCCAGGAGCUGAACUGGCAGACAGUUGUGAGCAGCCAUGUAGGUACUGGGAAUUGAACUCUGAUCCCAUUCAAGAGCAAUCAGUGUUCCUGUCCAUGGAGCCAUCUCUCUAACCAUAGUAACAAGUUACUUAGCCAAGGAGAAAUAGUAAUUAUGUUUUGAAGAAUCAUCAUUAUCACUAUACUCUUUAAGGAUCCUUUAGUGUCAUUUGGUUUGUUUUGGUUUUGUGUAAAAAGGAGAUAUGUUGCAGAAAUAUAUCAAUUUCUAUCAGGGACAUAUUUGACAAAACUUGAACUUAUGAAAUCAAGACAGUGUAAUGAGAAAAAGGAUUUUUUAGAAGACAGAGAGAAUACUACUAUUCUAGUUUGAAUUUCUGAAUUCAGUAAAUGAAAGUAAUGCUAAAUAAGUUGUGAACUGAUGUCUAGAAUGUGGCUGUCAGCAACUUUCAGUUUCUCUACAGUGACAUGUGAAUUUUACAGAUGGAAAGCCAAGUUCUUCAAAUGGGCUAGAAUUGCUGCUCCUUAAACAUUAUGCAAUAAACACAGACAAUUGACUCAAAAUCUCCAAGCAGAAAUUCGCUGUAGCACUUACAGCAAGCUAUGUUCCAUGAAUGAUUUUAGAGUGUUUGGAUAAAUUAAGCCUUUCAUGGGAUUUUAAAAACACCACACUUUGCACAUACAUUUGCAUGUGUAAACACUAUGAAUUUCUCAGAUAAUUUAGUUUGUAAAAAUUUGGAUGAACUGUACAUGUUUUUGUUAACAAUUUAAUUUAAAAGAUAACUUCUGGUUUGAAAGUGUAUUUAUUUGGUGUUUGAGGCAUAUAAAAUAUUUUUUAUUAAUUUAUUGAUUCUGUAUAGAUCAGAUGCUUUGCAUAAAAUUUGGGAGGCAAGUUUAAUUAGGAAAAUUAUGAACUAUACUGUGUGUGUUCUGAAUACUAUAUUUCUUCAGUUUUUAUGAGGGUGAAUAUAUUAUCAAGAUGACAUUUAAAUUGUUUUGAUAAUAUAUCUAUGUAUAUACAUACAUACUAAUAUGAAUAGUCAUAUUUAAGUACUUUUACUGUUUAUGAAAGAAAUGAAGUAACCUCUUUCAUCUUUCAUUUAUUUAAAUAUGUAUAUUUCCAAGGAUUUUGAUUGGCUACAUUCUUUUCAUUUUAAUAAUGUUAUUUUCUCCUGUAUAUUCACAUGUGUGCAUGUGGAGGUCAAAGAAAAGAUUUCUGUAGACUUUUCUCAAUCCAAUAUAUGUAUUUUCCUCUUUAAAAACUUGGUUUUGUCUUGUAGGUGUUUUUGUCAAAUGCCUUUAUCCAUUAUCUCAUUAUCCAAUUUCUUACUUUUAAUAAUUAAAACUACACAAAGGGUGAAGGUGUUCAUAAUAUAAACCAUAAAAUUAAACCUACGGAAAAUGAAAUUAAAGCUAGAGAGAUGUUUCAGUGCAAAAAGCACAGCAUCAGGACCUGAGGUUGCUUCCUAACACUCAU